rnacentral:lncRNA from 1 species
CAAUAUUCACUUGUACUAGUGCCACGGAAUUUCGUGGAGCCUACAGAAUAGAGAAGAAGACAGACAAUAAACAUUGACUUCAAUAAAGGAAAACGCUCUGCCUCGCAUGGUUUCUUCAGAAAAGCCCUGUGGAUUCUACCUGUUGAAAUAAGGAUGUCUAGCUGCUUCUACAACUUUAAUUACUAAAAAAAAGAAAAGAUCCAAUGCAACACUGAGAAAUGUUAUAUAUUUUUUUAAACGACUGCUUCUUAUGAGAAAAGAUAAUGUUG